GAGGUGGUUUCCCCCAUACUGUUCACGGAGUCUCACUCUGUAGCCUAAGCUGGAGUGCAGUGGUGUGAUCUCGGCUCACUGCAACUUCUGCCUCCAGGGCUCAAGUGAUUCUUGAGCCUCAGCCUCCCAAGUAGCUGGGACUACAGGUGCACACCACCACAUCUGGCUAAUUUUUUGUAUUUUAGUAGAGACAGGGUUUCACCAUGUUGCCCGGGGUGGUCUCAAACUCCUGAGCUCAGGCAAUCUGCCUAUAUCAGCCUCCCAAAGUGCUGGAAUUACAGGCGGGCGUGAGCCACUGUACCAUGCCAAAAAAAAAACGUAUACUCUUUAACUCAAGUCAACUUCUAGGAAUUGUUCCCUUAAAAAAAAAUCAAUCCAAAAAGAUGUAUGCAUAGGGGCAUUUAUCAGAGAACUGUUUACAAUAGGGGGAAGAAAAAACAGAAAUAAAUAAUAAUCAGUAACAGGAUUGGUGAAAUAAAUAAUUCUACAUCUUUUCACUCUCUAUCAGAGGAGGAAUUUGGAGAGUAACUUGAACAUAACCUAUGAUAAAUGUUAAUAUCAUAUCCAGG
rnacentral:lncRNA from 1 species